rnacentral:rRNA from 1 species
GUUAUAACCGGCGAUACCCGAAUGGGGAAACCCAGUGUGACUCGUCACACUAUCAUUAACUGAAUCCAUAGGUUAAUGAGGCGAACCGGGGGAACUGAAACAUCUAAGUACCCCGAGGAAAAGAAAUCAACCGAGAUUCCCCCAGUAGCGGCGAGCGAACGGGGAGGAGCCCAGAGCCUGAAUCAGCAUGUGUGUUAGUGGAAGCGUCUGGAAAGGCGCGCGAUACAGGGUGACAGCCCCGUACACAAAAGCGCAUGUGCUGUGAGCUCGAUGAGUAGGGCGGGACACGUGGUAUCCUGUCUGAAUAUGGGGGGACCAUCCUCCAAGGCUAAAUACUCCUGACUGACCGAUAGUGAACCAGUACCGUGAGGGAAAGGCGAAAAGAACCCCGGCGAGGGGAGUGAAAAAGAACCUGAAACCGUGUACGUACAAGCAGUGGGAGCACCCUUUGGGUGUGACUGCGUACCUUUUGUAUAAUGGGUCAGCGACUUAUAUUCUGUAGCAAGGUUAACCGAAUAGGGGAGCCGGAGGGAAACCGAGUCUUAACCGGGCGUUAAGUUGCAGGGUAUAGACCCGAAACCCGGUGAUCUAGCCAUGGGCAGGUUGAAGGUUGGGUAACACUAACUGGAGGACCGAACCGACUAAUGUUGAAAAAUUAGCGGAUGACCUGUGGCUGGGGGUGAAAGGCCAAUCAAACCGGGAGAUAGCUGGUUCUCCCCGAAAGCUAUUUAGGUAGCGCCUCGUGAAUUCAUCUCCGGGGGUAGAGCACUGUUUCGGCUAGGGGGCCAUCCCGGCUUACCAACCCGAUGCAAACUGCGAAUACCGGAGAAUGUUAUCACGGGAGACACACGGCGGGUGCUAACGUCCGUCGUGAAGAGGGAAACAACCCAGACCGCCAGCUAAGGUCCCAAAGUCAUGGUUAAGUGGGAAACGAUGUGGGAAGGCCCAGACAGCCAGGAUGUUGGCUUAGAAGCAGCCAUCAUUUAAAGAAAGCGUAAUAGCUCACUGGUCGAGUCGGCCUGCGCGGAAGAUGUAACGGGGCUAAACCAUGCACCGAAGCUGCGGCAGCGACACUGUGUGUUGUUGGGUAGGGGAGCGUUCUGUAAGCCUGUGAAGGUGUGUCGUGAGGCAUGCUGGAGGUAUCAGAAGUGCGAAUGCUGACAUAAGUAACGAUAAAGCGGGUGAAAAGCCCGCUCGCCGGAAGACCAAGGGUUCCUGUCCAACGUUAAUCGGGGCAGGGUGAGUCGACCCCUAAGGCGAGGCCGAAAGGCGUAGUCGAUGGGAAACGGGUUAAUAUUCCCGUACUUGGUGUUACUGCGAAGGGGGGACGGAGAAGGCUAUGUUGGCCGGG